CUCUCUUUGUGGCUCCCUCCCCCCAGCCUUGCCUGCCCUCAGGGCUUAGCAUCGGUCUGGUAGCCAGAGCCUUGCCUAACAUGAAACUGGCACAAAUGAAAAGGCGGAUAAAUAAACGUCCAGGAAUCUUGUUUGUCAUAUUUAAUCCAUCACGUUUCCCAAACAGCCUGGUCAAAAAAUUCUGCAGCAGUGUUUACAUCAUCCUGAUUGAAAGCUACAUCCGUGCAUAUAAAUACCAUUCCUGGAUGUAGCUCCAGUUUCACACGGAGGCAGCUAUCAGCCUUGUCUGCCCUCACCACUGAAAGAAGAAAAAAAAAUGUUUGAAUUUCUUCAUUCCCCCAUUCCUGCCCAAUCCAGCACUCGCACAUUCAUUUUUUUUUCCCCUCCUCUUCCUUAAGUAUCCCAGUGAGCAUUGCCCAAUGCUGUGAUUUCUGGGUAUGCUCAGUGAGCAAUGGGCAAGUGGAAUUCAUUAGACCACGGGGAAAUGGUUAAUCAGUGCGCUAAUGAAAGUGGCACAACACAAGCAUUGAAACAUGCAACCUGGCAGGGCUUGGUGUCAUCACAUGCCAUACACCUGGCACUUGGCUGGGAGCAACAACCAUGUCCCUAGCUGGGAAAGAAAACCAGGAGCACAGGUCAAACCAAUGCAAAUGAAUGAGAGAUAUUUCCCACUUUAAUGACCAGGAGGCAAAACUGGAAGAGGAAAGAAGCAGUUCCACCAUUUGACCAAGGAGAGAGACAGUUGUUGAUCCUACAUCAAGACAAACAAUGGCAAAGUGAUAACGAUGAUGAAGCUCAGAAAGGAACACAGAGUCCCAAACCUCCCCAUGCCAUGAUCCACAAAACAUUUCCCAACAGAAUGAACAGAGAAGGGAAAAAUCAAAAAGGAAAAAGAUGGAAAGAAAAAGAAUUCCAACCUGCCUGGGAUAAGAUGGUACAUCUUGUCACAAACAGAGUGUUUAACUUACGGCUUCUUUUGUUAAAAGAAAACCAAUCAAAUCUGUCUGUUUCCAUUCCAACCUCCUUCCCUCCACUUCAGCUUAUUUUUCCUGUGGCCAAAAUUGUUCAUCGUGCUGGAUGCAAAUCAUCCCCUGCAAAUUGCAUUUUUCCAUGGUAAAUGUUUUCACCAGAGAAUGUCCCGCUAUGCUGCCUCCAGAGGUUUUCAUCCCAUUUGGACACACAUAAUGGCGUGAAACACUUUGCUCACUCAGCUCCAUUUGCAGAGUGAACCCAACGUUGCAAUGUACUGUUUGUACGUUAAUGCAUUGCAAUGACACUGGCACACUUAUUUGGUGGAAAUGGGCACAAUAUUUGAUUGCACUCUUGGCAGCACUGUCCAGAGGUUGGACUUUGACUUCUAGUCUGCCUGUCUCCAGUUUCUUUGCAAAGGCUUUGAAAAACUGGGCUGUGACCCAGCCAUCCCCUUAGGUUUGGGCUUGUUUCUGAGUUCUUAUAGUUGAAAACAUCCAGCUGCAAAAGGAAAUAGCACCUGCUUUAUUCAGCUUAGCAGCACAGACAUUUCCCAGGAGCCUCCUUGUGCCCCUUGGAAUAAAAAUAAGGUUGUCAGAUGAUGCACCACAGAUAAAUCAGCAUUGUGACUGCCAGAAAAUACCCACCUCUCUAUUUUUAUAGGUGUCAUUAGCAUCCCUGCUUCUGAAAUUAGGACCUUACAGAGACAUAGGACACUGCUUUCUCAAAUAACAGCAAACCAUAUAACUUUAUAAGAAGUUUUUAAUCCCAGUAAAAGAAGCGAGACCGUAAACCCAUUUUUACCCUUCCUCCUUCACCUCUUGCCUACUCAAAAGCAGGAGCUGCUUCUGGCCUCCAGAUGUCCAACCCACAAGCUCUUCCCUUUUGCUAUUUUUGCUGCACGCUUUGAUCUUUUGCAAAUGCUGCCUGGGGGGGAGUAGGGGCUGGGGCUGUUGAUGCUGCACCCUGGGCUGCUCCAUCCAUGCCCCAGCCAAGCUCCUCAUCUUCCUCUGCCCUUGCUGCAAAGGGAGGUAAGCAGACAUACCCCUCUCCAAGGGUGGGGUGGAAAAUGGGAGGAGAGGAUGCGAAGAGGGCAGAAGAAUGGGCACGGAGGGGACCUGGCUGCAAGCUCCCACCUCAAAUCAUGGAUCACAAAAGAUGGCACUCCUUAACCUCUGCCUCCCUUCUUCAGAACAGUUAUCUUUCUUAUCAGCUCAGACUUUCCUUUCCCUGAGCUGAGAGUUGGGCAGCGCAGCAACAAAGAUGGGGCAAUGUGCUGUGUAUAGUGGUGCACGCACAGUGGCAUGGAAAUCACAUACCAACCCCACAAACCCUGCAAGAGAUGGGAUGGAUUCCCUUGCAGCUGAAUCACACCCAGAGCAGCAUCUCCAUUAAAUACAAUUUAUAUUAUACUAUAAUUGUUACAUAACAUAUUAUCAUGGAAUCAUUAAGGCUGGGAAAGACCACUAAGAUCAUCCAGUCCAACUGGUGAUAUCACACUGUCUCUGGAGGUGUUCCAGAACCGUGGGGAUGCGGCACUGAGGGACGUGGUCAGCGGGCAUGGUGGGGUUGGGCUGACAGUUGGGCUUGAUGAUCUUAGUGGCCUUUUCCAACCAUAGUGAUUGUAUGAUUUGCCCAACCUCUGCAUUACUGAUCUCUCCUGGCCAACAACGUCCCUGUAAGGACUGAGGUGAGGAAACAUUUAGGUAUGCUGCGUGGACAAAGCACCAGGAAUCAAGAGAAAUCCUGAGGUUCCAUCAAGGAAAGACUAAGAGUGGACGUGUCUACCAGAACUAGGGAAGCAAAAACUGGAAGAAGAAAAUGUUUACCCAAGUAUGAUAAAUAUUUCCCAUUGCUUCCUUUGGUGUUCAACUGCAUUCAGUCUUCA
ensembl:lncRNA